rnacentral:SRP_RNA from 2 species
GCCGGGUGUGGGGGCGUGCACCUGUAACCCCAGCUACUCAGGAGGCUAAGACAGGAGAAUCGCUUGAACCCAGGAGGCAGAGCUUCAGUGAGCCGAGACUGUGCCACUGCACUCCAGCCUGGGUGACAGAGCGAGAUUCUGUCUUUA